GAUGAACGCUGGCGGCGUGCCUAAUACAUGCAAGUCGAGCGAACAGACGAGGAGCUUGCUCCUCUGACGUUAGCGGCGGACGGGUGAGUAACACGUGGAUAACCUACCUAUAAGACUGGGAUAACUUCGGGAAACCGGAGCUAAUACCGGAUAAUAUAUUGAACCGCAUGGUUCAAUAGUGAAAGACGGUUUUGCUGCCACUUAUAGAUGGAUCCGCGCCGCAUUAGCUAGUUGGUAAGGUAACGGCUUACCAAGGCAACGAUGCGUAGCCGACCUGAGAGGGUGAUCGGCCACACUGGAACUGAGACACGGUCGAGACUCCUACGGGAGGCAGCAGUAGGGAAUCUUCCGCAAUGGGCGAAAGCCUGACGGAGCAACGCCGCGUGAGUGAUGAAGGUCUUCGGAUCGUAAAACUCUGUUAUUAGGGAAGAACAAAUGUGUAAGUAACUAUGCACGUCUUGACGGUACCUAAUCAGAAAGCCACGGCUAACUACGUG
rnacentral:rRNA from 1 species